AUGAACGCUGGCGGCGUGCCUAAUACAUGCAAGUCGAGCGAACGGACGAGAAGCUUGCUUCUCUGAUGUUAGCGGCGGACGGGUGAGUAACACGUGGAUAACCUACCUAUAAGACUGGGAUAACUUCGGGAAACCGGAGCUAAUACCGGAUGAUAUUUUGAACCGCAUGGUUCAAAAGUGAAAGACGGUCUUGCUGUCACUUAUAGAUGGAUCCGCGCUGCAUUAGCUAGUUGGUAAGGUAACGGCUUACCAAGGCAACGAUGCAUAGCCGACCGGAGAGGGUGAUCGGCCACACGAGAACGUGGACGCGGUCCAGACUCCUACGGGAGGCAGCAGUAGGGAAUCUUCCGCAAUGGGCGAAAGCCUGACGGAGCAACGCCGCGUGAGUGAUGAAGGUCUUCGGAUCGUAAAACUCUGUUAUUAGGGAAGAACAUAUGUGUAAGUAACUGUGCACAGCUUGACGGUACCUAAUCAGAAAGCCACGGCUAACUACGUG
rnacentral:rRNA from 1 species